rnacentral:tRNA from 1 species
UGGGGUAUGGUGUAAUGAAAAGCGCGUUCGGCUUAUAUCCGAAAAGCCCGGGUUUGAUUCCCGGUACCCCGACCA